UACGGAGGGAGCUAGCGUUGUUCGGAAUUACUGGGCGUAAAGCGCACGUAGGCGGAUUGCUAAGUCAGGGGUGAAAUCCUGGAGCUCAACUCCAGAACUGCCUUCGAUACUGGGAGCUCGAGUCCGGGAGAGGUGAGUGGAACUGCGAGUGUAGAGGUGAAAUUCGUAGAUAUUCGCAAGAACACCAGUGGCGAAGGCGGCUCACUGGCCCGGUACUGACGCUGAGGUGCGAAAGCGUGGGGAGCAAACAGG
rnacentral:rRNA from 1 species